rnacentral:lncRNA from 1 species
GUGGAUUGGGUAAGAUUGACAUGCCAACCACACCCUAUCCCCUACAAAUUACACCAUUUAGAUGAAAGUAAAGAGAUCGAUGUUACUUAGUAAGUAUGUGUGCUAUUUUCUAUUAGUGACUACAUGGAUAAGAUAUUGUGCAUUGUAGUCCCCAUGUAAGUAAGACAUUUAUUGCUAGACAGGCCCUAGCAAUAUGAUCAAGAUUUUCGCCAUACCAGUGAAGAAAU